rnacentral:lncRNA from 1 species
GGCACACUAGAAUUAAAAAUCUGGAUUAAAUAUUUUAGGCUGAUUGUUUAGAGCUUAAUGAGUUAUUAGUAUUAACGGAUCAUAUAUAUUAUUACAGUUGGUAUCAGAAUCAGCAUCAAAGUCAGUUUACGAGCUGAAAAUAUGAAAUAGAGCUCACAUCGCCUGAAUGUCUUAGAUUAUGUGUGUGAUUGGAGUAAGGAGGAUGUCAUCAUCUAAAAUAGAAAAAGUAUGUAACACCGCAAUAGUUUCACAUUAAAUAAUGUAGAAAAGUGUGAGGAGGCUUAUAUAUUUGACGGACACACUGAAAUUAAUAACUAGAUUUAAACAUUCUAAACUGAUGGUUUGGGCCCAAAAGUUAUUUGUGUUUGUAAGCUAGAUUUUUAUAGUCUUGAUAUAAUUUUACCUUAUUGUUGAAGCUAAUAUUUAAAUUAAGAAUUUUUGCACGAAUGGAUCGCAGGAGAAAUGCUAUACUAUCAAGAUUCUGACAAUCAAAUUAAGAGUAAUGCUUCUAUACUUUUUUUGUUUUAUUACCGUUUAUUCACGCAUAUUCAACGGCUCAGAUUUAGUUUUUUUAAAAUAGUGACCUGCAAUAGCAGGUUACUUUGGGAGAGGUACCGGUUACCAGGUACCUCAAAAAAAGGUAUUUUUGUCUUUUAAUACAUAAGCAAUUUGGUCAUUUUACAUCUACUAUGUUUUCAAAUUUUUUAUUUUCUAUUUUUUUUUCCUUUUUCUCUCUCUAUCUUUUCUUUUAUAAUUUGGCAUUUCAUAUAAGGAAUAUUUCAAAUAAUUUGACAAUAUGAUCUUUUAAUUUUUCUUUUCUCUUUGUUUAAUU